GAUGAACGCUGGCGGCGUGCUUAACACAUGCAAGUCGAACGGAGUGGCGAACGGGUGAGUAACACGCGGGUGAUCUGCCCUGUACUUCGUGAUAAGCUUGGGAAACUGGGUCUAAUACCGGAUAGUAUGGGCUGAGCUCGCGGCCUAUCAGCUUGUUGGUGGGGUAAUGGUCUACCAAGCCGUUGACGGGUAGCUGGCCUGAGAGGGUGUACGGCCACAUUGGGACUGAGAUACGGCCCAGACUCCUACGGGAGGCAGCAGUGGGGAUUAUUGCGCAAGGGGCGCAGGACUGAUGCAGCGACGCCGCGUGGGGGAUGAAGGCCUUCGGGUUGUAAGCUCCUUUCGCUAGGGACGCGGUACCUGGAGAAGAAGCACCGGCUAACUACGUGCCAGCAGCCGCGGUAAUUC
rnacentral:rRNA from 1 species